UAGUCUCGCACAGAUGCAUAUCAAUAAGCGGAGGAAAAGAAACUAACAAGGAUUCCCCUAGUAACGGCGGGUGAAGCGGGAAGAGCUCAAAUUUGAAAUCUUAAAGGGUUUCCCUUUACGAAUUGUAGUUUAAAGAAGUGUUUUCUGUUGAGGUUUUGGUAAAAGUUCUUUGGAAUAGGACAUCAUAGAGGGUGAGAAUCCCGUAUUUGACCUUUACUUUCAACUUUGUGAUACACUUUCAAAGAGUCGGAUUGUUUGGGAAUGCAGUCCAAAAUGGGUGGUAAAUUUCAUCUAAAGCUAAAUAUUGGCGAGAGACCGAUAGCGAACAAGUACCGUGAGGGAAAGAUGAAAAGAACUUUGAAAAGAGAGUUAAACAGUACGUGAAAUUGUCAAAAGGGAAGCGUUUGACACCAGUGUUGUUUUUCUGAAAAUCAAUUAAAGAACUGUUUAUGCUAAGCUGUUUAGACUUUAUCAGCUAUCUGUUUAGUUUUGAGCUUUUCUUUAAUGCACUUUUCAGUUAACAAGUCAACAUCAAUUUCUUUUGCUGUAAAAAAGCUUGAGGAAGGUGGCUUGAGAUUCGUCUUAAGUGUUUAUAGCCUCUUGCCUAUGCAGUCGGAGAGAUUGAGGUCUGCAGCGUAGAUCCUUCGGGGCUAAAUGCAUUUGUGCUAAGUUAUAGCAUUUUAUAGACAACUUGUUGACUAUGAUUUGUCUUGUAGCUUACUCGCUUAUGUUAUUUUACCUACGCUUAGGAUGUUGAUCUGUAGUGCGUGCGC
rnacentral:rRNA from 1 species